rnacentral:rRNA from 1 species
UACGAAGGGGACUAGCGUUGUUCGGAAUCACUGGGCGUAAAGCGCACGUAGGCGGAUAUGUCAGUCAGGGGUGAAAUCCCGGGGCUCAACCUCGGAACUGCCUUUGAUACAGCAUAUCUUGAGUCCGAUAGAGGUGGGUGGAAUUCCUAGUGUAGAGGUGAAAUUCGUAGAUAUUAGGAAGAACACCGGUGGCGAAGGCGGCCCACUGGAGCGGUACUGACGCUGAGGUGCGAAAGCGUGGGGAGCAAACAGG